UAGCGNUGAAAUGCGUAGAUAUCGGGAAGAACACCAGNGCGAAGGCGNUCUGCUGGGCCAUAACUGAUGCUCAUGGACGAAAGCCAGGGAACGAAAGGGAUUAGAUACCCCUGUAGUCCUGGCCGUAAACGAUGAACACUAGGUGUCGGGGGAAUCGACCCCCUCGGUGUCGUAGCCAACGCGUUAAGUGUUCCGCCUGGGGAGUACGCACGCAAGUGUGAAACUCAAAGGAAUUGACGGGGGCCCGCACAAGCGGUGGAGUAUGUGGUUUAAUUCGAUGCAACGCGAAGAACCUUACCAGGGUUUGACAUCCUGCGAACCCCCUGGAAACGGGGGGGUGCCUUCGGGAACGCAGUGACAGGUGGUGCAUGGCUGUCGUCAGCUCGUGUCGUGAGAUGUUGGGUUAAGUCCCGCAACGAGCGCAACCCACGUCGUUAGUUGCCAGCAUUCAGUUGGGCACUCUAGCGAGACCGCCGGUGAUAAACCGGAGGAAGGUGUGGAUGACGUCAAGUCAUCAUGCCCCUUACAUCCUGGGCUACACACGUACUACAAUGCUACGGACAAAGGGCCGCAAGCUCGCGAGAGUUAGCAAAUCCCAUAAACCGUGGCUCAGUUCAGAUCGUAGGCUGCAACUCGCCUACGUGAAGGAGGAAUCGCUAGUAAUCGCAGGUCAGCAUACUGCGGUGAAUACGUUCCCGGGCCUUGUACACACCGCCCGUCACACCAUGGAAGUUGGCCACGCCCGAAGUCGUUACUCCAACCCGUAAGGGAGGAGGACGCCGAAGGUGGGGCUGAUGACUGGGGUGAAGU
rnacentral:rRNA from 1 species